CCUACGGGGGGCAGCAGUGGGGAAUAUUGGACAAUGGGGGCAACCCUGAUCCAGCCAUGCCGCGUGUGUGAAGAAGGCCCUCGGGUUGUAAAGCACUUUCAGUGAGGAAGAACGCCUGGUGGUUAAUACCCAUCAGGAAAGACAUCACUCACAGAAGAAGCACCGGCUAACUCCGUGCCAGCAGCCGCGGUAAUACGGAGGGUGCGAGCGUUAAUCGGAAUUACUGGGCGUAAAGCGCGCGUAGGUGGCUUGAUAAGCCGGUUGUGAAAGCCCCGGGCUCAACCUGGGAACGGCAUCCGGAACUGUCAAGCUAGAGUGAAGGAGAGGAAGGUAGAAUUCCCGGUGUAGCGGUGAAAUGCGUAGAGAUCGGGAGGAAUACCAGUGGCGAAGGCGGCCUUCUGGACUGACACUGACACUGAGGUGCGAAAGCGUGGGUAGCAAACAGGAUUAGAUACCCGAGUAGUC
rnacentral:rRNA from 1 species